rnacentral:rRNA from 1 species
AUUGAACGCUGGCGGCAGGCUUAACACAUGCAAGUCGAGCGGAAACGAUGGUAGCUUGCUACCAGGCGUCGAGCGGCGGACGGGUGAGUAAUGCUUAGGAAUCUGCCUAGUAGUGGGGGAUAGCCCGGGGAAACUCGGAUUAAUACCGCAUACGCCCUACGGGGGAAAGCAGGGGAUCUUCGGACCUUGCGCUAUUAGAUGAGCCUAAGUCGGAUUAGCUAGUUGGUGGGGUAAUGGCCUACCAAGGCGACGAUCCGUAGCUGGUCUGAGAGGAUGAUCAGCCACAUCGGGACUGAGACACGGCCCGAACUCCUACGGGAGGCAGCAGUGGGGAAUAUUGGACAAUGGGCGCAAGCCUGAUCCAGCCAUGCCGCGUGUGUGAAGAAGGCUUUCGGGUUGUAAAGCACUUUCAGCGAGGAGGAAGGCCUUAACGCUAAUAUCGUUGAGGAUUGACGUCA